rnacentral:lncRNA from 1 species
AAGACUUUGAGCGCAUGAGAUGUAAAAUCUCGGCAUCUAGGCUUGUUAGCUUGGGGUCAAAACAUGUGGUUUAAUCCUUUCCAAUGAAAGGUUCCACAGAUACCAAGCGAAGAACCGCCUUAGGCAUCUAGUACGUCAAAAACUCAAAGGAGUAGAAUGUUACAUUGCUCUUGCAUACAAAACCAAGCUGUUAUGAGACUCGAUAGAGGUCACAAACGAUGCUUUUAAUGGUUUGUCCCUUCGGAUUGAUCAUACAUAAUCCGGAAAGACCGCGAAUUGAUCAAACACAAUUCGGAAAAAAUAGCCUCGGAUUGAUCAAACACAAUCCGGUGAAAGGACGGGGUUGGAUCAAACACAACCCGGACAAAGAAACAAGAGUGAUCCAACAUACUCUUGACCCGCGAAUAAAAUUCCAGGAUUUUUGGUACCUGCACACACAAAAUCCCAAGCAGAGAAUGGAGAUGGAGAAGGGAGGAAAGGAUUUUAUCCUCCCCGAGUUAUUGAACUUGGAAGAGUUUAAGGUUUCAAAAAACAUACCUUUCUAGAGGCUGCGGAGAGGAGAAAUAACGUUUCGCCUACUUAUACUUCGAAUUUGGGGCUGAAAAUUUGAUAGGAGGAGAAGCUCUGGAUGGGGAAGCUGCUGUCAAAAUUUCAGGUUGAUC